rnacentral:rRNA from 1 species
GGGGAAUUUUCCGCAAUGGGCGAAAGCCUGACGGAGCAACGCCGCGUGAGGGACUAAGGCCUUUGGGCUGUAAACCUCUUUUCUCAAGGAAGAAGAUCUGACGGUACUUGAGGAAUAAGCCACGGCUAAUUCCGUGCCAGCAGCCGCGGUAAUACGGGAGUAGCAAGCGUUAUCCGGAAUUAUUGGGCGUAAAGCGUCCGCAGGCGGCCAAGCAAGUCUGUUGUUAAAGCGUGGAGCUCAACUCCAUCACUGCAAUGGAAACUGCUAGGCUUGAGUGUGGCAGGGGCAGAGGGAAUUUCCGGUGUAGCGGUGAAAUGCGUAGAUAUCGGGAGGAACACCAGUGGCGAAGGCGGCCCUCUGGGCUGUACCUGACGCUGAGGCGCGAAAGCGUGGGGAGCGAACCGGAUUAGAUACCCGGGUAGUCCACGCCCUAAACGAUGGAUGCUGGGUAUGAGGGGUAUCGAACCCCCUCGUGCCGAAGCUAACGCGUUAAGCAUCCCGCCUGGGGAGUACGGCCGCAAGGCUAAAAUUCAAAGGAAUUGACGGGGGCCCGCACAAGCAGCGGAGCGUGUGGUUCAAUUCGAUGCAACGCGAAGAACCUUACCUGGGCUUGACAUGUUCCGGACUGCGGGUGAAAGCCCGUUUCCCUUCGGGGCCGGAUCACAGGUGCUGCACGGCUGUCGUCAGCUCGUGCCGUGAGGUGUUGGGUUAAGUCCCGCAACGAGCGCAACCCUCGUCGUUAGUUGUAUUUCUCUAGCGAGACCGCUGCGUACAACGCAGAGGAAGGUGGGGACGAUGUCAAGUCAGCGUGGCCCUUACGCCCAGGGCGACACACACGCUACAAUGGCCGGUACAACGGGCAGCCACUGCGCGAGCAGGAGCGAAUCCCUCAAAACCGGCCCCAGUUCGGAUAGCAGGCUGAAACUCGCCUACGUGAAGCAGGAAUCGCUAGUAAUCGCAGGUCAGCAUACUGCGGUGAAUACGUCCCCGGGCCUUGUACACACCGCCCGU